rnacentral:rRNA from 1 species
CAUAUCAAUAAGCGGAGGAAAAGAAACUAACAAGGAUUCCCCUAGUAACUGCGAGUGAAGCGGGAAAAGCUCAAAUUUGAAAUCUGGCAGUCCUUGACUGUCCGAGUUGUAAUCUAGAGAAGUGCUACCUGUGCUGGACCGUGUAAAAGUCUCCUGGAAUGGAGCGUCAUAGAGGGUGAGAAUCCCGUCUUUGACACGGACAACCCGUGCGUAAUGGUGCGCUCUCAAAGAGUCGAGUUGUUUGGGAAUGCAGCUCAAAAUGGGUGGUAAAUGCCAUCUAAAGCUAAAUAUUGGCGAGAGACCGAUAGCGAACAAGUACCGUGAGGGAAAGAUGAAAAGAACUUUGGAAAGAGAGUUAAACAGUACGUGAAAUUGCUGAAAGGGAAACGCUUGAAGUCAGUCACGUUGGCUAGAAAUCAGCCUUGCUUCUGCUUGGUGUACUUUCUGGUCGAUGGGUCAGCAUCAAUUUUGACCGCUGGAUAAAGUCUUUGGGAAUGUGGCAUCUUUGGAUGUGUUAUAGCCCAUGGUCGCAUACAGCGGUUGGGAUUGAGGAACUCAGCACGCCGCAAGGCCGGGUUUCGACCACGUUCGUGCUUAGGAUGCUGGCAUAAUGGCUUUAAUCGACCCGUCUUGAAACACGGACCAAGGAGUCUAACAUGCCUGCGAGUGUUUGGGUGGAAAACCCAUGCGCGCAAUGAAAGUGAAAGUUGAGAUCCCUGUAAUGGAGAGCAUUGACGCCCGGACCAGACCUUCUGUGACGGAUCCGCGGUAGAGCAUGUAUGUUGGGACCCGAAAGAUGGUGAACUAUGCCUGAAUAGGGUGAAGCCAGAGGAAACUCUGGUGGAGGCUCGUAGCGAUUCUGACGUGCAAAUCGAUCGUCAAAUUUGGGUAUAGGGGCGAAAGACUAAUCGAACCAUCUAGUAGCUGGUUCCUGCC